CCUAGUCAUAUUCAUUUCCUCUGC
rnacentral:siRNA from 1 species